AUGGAAACGAUGCGCUUUGAAAGUUCCAAAGAGAUUUUUUUUAAGCAUGCCUGUCAGGAAGCACAUAAAUACCACAAAAGGAAACCCAUUCGUCUCCAAACACGAUUUACCAAGGACCAGGGAGCCCUGAGCUUUUUCCCCUCACGCAGCGUCUCCGUGGCAGCUCCCGAGUUGCGCUCUCGGAGGCGGCAACCCCACUUUUCUUCCGUCUCCCAGUCACAGACGGGACAACGUGCAGCUGCCGCCACCGGCCAGGCCGCUGUCACCGCUGUCACCGCCGCCGCCGCUGCUUCUAAAUCAGAGCCGCUACUGCAAAGAAAGGGUUACUCCUCUCUCCAGUCAAGUGGCUGCAAACUUCCCCUGCUCUCCUUGUGCCAUAUUUCUGCAAACUUGGACGUCCUUCCGUGCGGAAGGACCACGGAAAGCCAUCACGAGCGUCACAGGGAGCAUAAUAAAGGGCACCCCGGAAGAAUAUCAUUCCUGUCUGGACGGAACUUCUGGAUUUUCUUCAGUGUCUCAGCAGUCUUGUGACUAUGCCUGAGGAAAUGAAACGAGUAACAGGUAUGAUCUAGCAUCUAUGCCUUCUUUUUGUCAACAUGGUUUUUAAUCAUCUCUCUGUGUCCC
rnacentral:lncRNA from 1 species